rnacentral:rRNA from 1 species
AGAGUUUGAUCAUGGCUCAGAACGUACGCUGGCGGCACGCCUAACACAUGCAAGUCGAACGAAGUAGCAAUACUUAGUGGCAGACGGGUGAGUAACAUGUAGGUAUCUGCCCUUUGGCCUGGAAUAACACGAGGAAACUUGUGCUAAUACCGGAUAAGUCUUUACGGAGAAAGCUUUAUGCACCAUUGGAUGAGCCUGCACUUGAUUAGUUUGUUGGUGGGGUAAUGGCCUACCAAGACUGUGAUCAAUAGCUGAUUUGAGAGGAUGAUCAGCCACAUUGGGACUGAGACACGGCCCAAACUCCUACGGGAGGCAGCAGUGGGGAAUCUUGCACAAUGGAGGAAACUCUGAUGCAGCGAUGCCGCGUGAGUGAAGAAGGCCUUUGGGU